rnacentral:misc_RNA from 1 species
AACUAUCGAAACACUUUUCUUGGGUGUUUUGGACUUUGGGAGUGUUCUGCUGGUCUCUAUGAGCCCGGCUCUCCUCAAAAGCAUUGGCUUUGGAGACUGUCAGUGUGAUAAUUUGUUUGCGCUGACUUGGGUGUCUCUGCCCUCCUC